AACAGGAUUAGAUACCCUGGUAGUCCACGCCGUAAACCAUGUCGACUUGGAGGUUGUUCCCUUGAGGAGUGGCUUCCGGAGCUAACGCGUUAAGUCGACCGCCUGGGGAGUACGGCCGCAAGGUUAAAACUCAAAUGAAUUGACGGGGGCCCGCACAAGCGGUGGAGCAUGUGGUUUAAUUCGAUGCAACGCGAAGAACCUUACCUACUCUUGACAUCCACGGAAUUCGGCAGAGAUGCCUUAGUGCCUUCGGGAACCGUGAGACAGGUGCUGCAUGGCUGUCGUCAGCUCGUGUUGUGAAAUGUUGGGUUAAGUCCCGCAACGAGCGCAACCCUUAUCCUUUGUUGCCAGCGAUUCGGUCGGGAACUCAAAGGAGACUGCCGGUGAUAAACCGGAGGAAGGUGGGGAUGACGUCAAGUCAUCAUGGCCCUUACGAGUAGGGCUACACACGUGCUACAAUGGCGCAUACAAAGAGAAGCGACCUCGCGAGAGCAAGCGGACCUCAUAAAGUGCGUCGUAGUCCGGAUCGGAGUCUGCAACUCGACUCCGUGAAGUCGGAAUCGCUAGUAAUCGUGGAUCAGAAUGCCACGGUGAAUACGUUCCCGGGCCUUGUACACACCGCCCGUCACACCAUGGGAGUGGGUUGCAAAAGAAGUAGGUAGCUUAACCUUCGGGAGGGCGCUUACCACUUUGUGAUUCAUGACUGGGGUGAAGUCGUAACAAGGUA
rnacentral:rRNA from 1 species